rnacentral:rRNA from 1 species
GGGGGAUAACUAUUGGAAACGAUAGCUAAUACCGCAUAAUAUUACUUAUUGCAUGAUAAUUGAUUGAAAGAUGCAAGCGCAUCACUAGUAGAUGGACCUGCGUUGUAUUAGCUAGUUGGUAAGGUAAGAGCUUACCAAGGCGACGAUACAUAGCCGACCUGAGAGGGUGAUCGGCCACACUGGGACUGAGACACGGCCCAGACUCCUACGGGAGGCAGCAGUAGGGAAUCUUCGGCAAUGGACGAAAGUCUGACCGAGCAACGCCGCGUGAGUGAAGAAGGUUUUCGGAUCGUAAAGCUCUGUUGUAAGUCCAGAACGUGUGUGAGAGUGGAAAGUUCACACAGUGACGGUAGCUUACCAGAAAGGGACGGCUAACUACGUGCCAGCAGCCGCGGUAAUACGUAGGUCCCGAGCGUUGUCCCGGAUUUAUUGGGCGUAAAGGGGCCAGCGUCAGGAAAUCUGGAUAAAAGGCUAUGGCUCAACCUAGGGCUCUGAAACUGUCUGACUUGAGUGCAGAAGGGGAGAGUGGAUUCCAUGUGUAGCGGUGAAAUGCGUAGAUAUAUGGAGGAACACCAGUGGCGAAAGCGGCUCUCUGGUCUGUCAC